rnacentral:lncRNA from 1 species
AAAAAGCUGUUGAGUUCCAGGAAAAACAAAAACUGAGUAAUAAGACCAAACGAUGAAAUAAACUAAGCCUGGCCUGUUAUGUACCUGUAACUUUUAAGCAGGCGAAGCUUUUGGUAAAAUUCAACGAAAGCCCGCUUGAGUUGAUCUUCAACUUUUCUUAGAUUUUCCCUACUGAAACUCAUCUCCGCCUGUUUUGGAACCUGCAGAAGACCUUUAAUGGUGGACCGAGGAGUUUCGAGAGUGUUGUUCAUCUUCACCCGGUCUAGUACUUCUAGCGGUGCAGGCUUCACCCCCUUGAUUUUGGGUUUCGGCGGUUUCGGCUCCUGAACUGGAGUUUCCAUCUCUUUCUCAUCAUCUUUAUCAUCAUCAUCAGUUUGUCCAUGGGUGCUUUCUUCAAUGGCUUCCAAGUGAGCAGCUCUUUCUGCACAUCAAACAGGUUGAAGUUGAAUUAAUUAUUUUUAUGAUAACUCUUGAUAUAAAUAUAAUUGUAAGUUGUAGCUUACUGCUCUUUGAUCUACCCGCAGAUGGAGUAGUAGGAACCGACAGUGAUGCAGUGGAAACAGCAAUGUCGGAAGCAAGACGAGUCAUCUCGACGGACCUAUCGAAAUUCACCGGGGGAUUCUCAACUUUGAUCCUAAAAGCAAUCAAAGCAUCCAUUUG